rnacentral:rRNA from 1 species
GACGAACGCUGGCGGCGUGCUUAACACAUGCAAGUCGAACGGAAAGGCCCUGCUUUUGUGGGGUGCUCGAGUGGCGAACGGGUGAGUAACACGUGAGUAACCUGCCCUUGACUUUGGGAUAACUUCAGGAAACUGGGGCUAAUACCGGAUAGGAGCUCCUGCUGCAUGGUGGGGGUUGGAAAGUUUCGGCGGUUGGGGAUGGACUCGCGGCUUAUCAGCUUGUUGGUGGGGUAGUGGCUUACCAAGGCUUUGACGGGUAGCCGGCCUGAGAGGGUGACCAGCCACCUUGGGCCUGCGGUACGGCCCAGUCGCCUACGGGAGGCAGCGGUGGGGAAUCUUGCGCAAUGGCCGGACGCCUGAUACAGCGGCGCCGCGUGCGGGAUGCCGGCCUUCGGGUUGUAAACCGCUUUCUCCUGUGACGAGGCGUGCGUGACGGUAAUGGGUAAGGAAGCCCCGGCUAACUACGUG